UUUCGCAAUGCCCGAAAGGGUGACGAAGCGACGCCGCGUGGGUGAGGAAGGCCUUCGGGUUGUAAAGCCCUGUCAGGAGUUAAGAAAUGUAGAUACGCUAAUAUCGUAUCUAUUUGACAAAGGCUCCAAAGGAAGCCACGGCUAACUCUGUGCCAGCAGCCGCGGUAAUACAGAGGUGGCAAGCGUUGUUCGGAAUUAUUGGGCGUAAAGAGCACGUAGGCGGCCCUGCCAGUCAGUUGUGAAAGCCUUCCGCUCAACGGAAGAACGGCAGCUGAUACUACAGGGCUAGAGUACGGGAGGGGAGAGUGGAACUUCUGGUGGAGCGGUGAAAUGCGUAGAUAUCAGAAGGAACGCCGGCGGCGAAAGCGACUCUCUGGACCGAAACUGACGCUGAGUGUGCGAAAGCUAGGGGAGCAAACGGGAUUAGAUACCCCGGUAGUCCUAGCCGUAAACGAUGGGCACUAAGUAGAGGGGUUUUA
rnacentral:rRNA from 1 species